rnacentral:rRNA from 1 species
UACGGAGGGGGCUAGCGUUGUUCGGAAUUACUGGGCGUAAAGCGCACGUAGGCGGCGAUCUAAGUCAGAGGUGAAAGCCCGGGGCUCAACCCCGGAACUGCGUUGGAUACUGCCGGGCUUGAGUGUGGGAGAGGAGAGUGGAAUUCCCAGUGUAGAGGUGAAAUUCGUAGAUAUUGGGAGGAACACCCGUGGCGAAGGCGGCUCUCUGGACCACAACUGACGCUGAGGCGCGAAAGCUAGGGUAGCAAACGGGAUUAGAAACCCUGGUAGU